AACGGUCUAUACCUGCGGUACCUGCGGAGGGAUCAUUAACGAGUUUCGUCGGGGGCGGUGCCAGCGAUGUGCACGCCCCCUUCAAACCCCUCUAUCACACACCCGUGCACCUUUAUGAGAUCGAGGGAAGUCUCCCCUUGAUCUGAUCGUCUGACGCCGUAAAAGCGAAGGAAAGCGAAGAUUGUAAAAACACAACUUUUAACAAUGGAUCUCU
rnacentral:misc_RNA from 1 species